CCUUCACCGCGCUCUGAUUGGUGCUCCUUAUCUAUAACGCGGAACUGUUUUAUCGUUCUAUUCGUUUAGCAGUCGAUGAAUCGAACGUUAGGCUAUACAAACCCGCACCUGAUUGGCUGAUCAGGACACAAAACUUUCAGGUUAUCAUCUCCCAUUGGUCUGUGAAGCUUCGGCGUUUUUUUUCCCUCAGAAGUUCAGGAUCUGUGGCAGUUUAAUACUGCAUUCGGCUAAAGCUUAUAACUCAACCGACCAGGGAAAAUCAAAGAAAAAUCAAGGGCAGACGAUUUACUCAACCCCAAGUUCAGCAAGUGAUGUCAAAGCAACAUGGCCGCUCACACCAUCAACAGUAAACAAAGUAGAAAACACAGGUGCUUCCUAUAAAACAGCCAAGCCUCAAGUGAAAGUUGCCAACCUGGAGAAAUAUCUUGGAUAGAAGUGUGUAUUGGUGCACUUUAGCCCUAAAUGUGUGAGUCAAAUCCUUCUGAACCAGGAGUAGAUUCGCUCUUGCCAGUAUCGGUCAAUAUCUAGUCUGGUGUUUUCAUACCCAAAUAAAGAGGCAAACUUCA